CAAAAACAUGUCUUUUUGAUUAUAAUUUAAAGUCUAACCUGCCCAAUGAGGAGUUAAAUGGCCGCGGUAAUUUGACCGUGCAAAGGUAGCAUAAUCAUUAGUUUUUUAAUUGAAAGCUGGAAUGAAUGGUUGGACGAGAAAAUAACUGUCUCAAUUCAAUUGGAAUCAGAAUUUUAUUUAUAAGUAAAAAAGCUUAUAUGAAUUUAAAAGACGAGAAGACCCUAUAGAAUUUAACAUAUUAAUAUGUUUAUUACUUUCGAAUUUUUAUCUAUAUAUAUAUAAGUAUAUUUUGUUGGGGCGAUAGAAAAAUUAAUUGAACUUUUUUUAUAUUUUAACAUUAAGCGUAUGUAUAACGUGAUCCGUUUACUUACGACUUAAAACGAUUAAAUUACCUUAGGGAUAACAGCGUAAUUUUUUUUUAGAGUUCUUAUCGAAAAAAGAGUUUGCGACCUCGAUGUUGGAUUAAAAUUAACUUUUGGUGUAGGGGCU
rnacentral:rRNA from 1 species